GCUCAGGAAUGGCCCUGCGGCCCAUCAGGUUGUUGGCGGGGUAACGGCCCACCAAGCCGAUGACGGGUCGCUGGUCUGUGAGGACGACCAGCCAGACUGGGACUGCGACACGGCCCAGACUCCUACGGGAGGCAGCAGCAAGGAAUUUUCGGCAAUGGGCGCAAGCCUGACCGAGCAACGCCGCGUGCAGGAUGACGGCUUUCGGGUUGUAAACUGCUUUUGCCAGAGAUGAUACGGACAGUAUCUGGCGAAUCAGCCCCGGCUAACUCUGUGCCAGCAGCCGCGGUAAUACAGAGGGGGCAAGCGUUGUCCGGAUUGACUGGGCGUAAAGCGCACGCAGGUGGUCAGCCAAGACGGGUGUGAAAUCGACGGGCUUAACCCGUCGCCGCCACCCGUGACUGGUCGACUGGAGGUUGGCAGAGGUGGGUGGAAUUGCCAGUGUAGCAGUGAAAUGCGUAGAGCUUGGCAGGAACACCGAGGGGGAACCCAGCCCACUGGGCCAGACCUGACACUGAGGUGCGACAGCGUGGGGAGCCAACAGGAUUAGAUACCCUGGUAGUCCACGCCGUAAACGAUGUGCGCUCGGCUUGUGGCGGUUAUCCAUACCGCUGGGAGCCUUAGCUUACGCGGUAAGCGCACCGCCUGGGAACUACGAGCGCAAGCUUAAAACUCAAAGGAAUUGACGGAAUCGAAUU
rnacentral:rRNA from 1 species